GCGGCGGUCUGGACGUCGUCGCCGAGCUCGGCCUGGCCGGGGCCGGCGGCGACCUGUUCUGCGACGGCGCGUUCGGCUCGCACACCGCCGCGC
rnacentral:tRNA from 1 species